GCUGACAGGCAGAUGGGCCAGUGGUUUAUCAGCUGAUGGGUUCAUUCACAGGUACUUGGGUGCUCCAAAGCCUACUUCCUAGAGGGGAGGAAGCUUCAACUAUUUCCUCAGAACAUCAAAACCAAAAGAAUGUACAAUGAGAACAAAGAAAAGCUGAAUUCUGAAACACAGAGAGAGAUGGGAGGAGCCACCAAACUGCAGAGCCCAGAGCAGAAAAUGGACACCUCCAGAAUUAGCAAACAGAAGGAUGAUUGGAGAAAAAUUCAACCAACACAGUCUGUUCUAAGCAAGAAGUCUGGGAUGACUCCUCCGUGCCUUGAGGAUAUGACAUGAGAUUCAGAUGACUACCUGUCUGGAGGUCCUACCCGCAUAGACUCUGAGCUCAUCCUGCCCUAUCCCAGCCUGGGUGAGAACCCUACAAGCAGACACAUCCAGGCCUAGCCAUGCUGCCAGCAGUCCAGGAUCCUGUACGCUUAGGGUGGAUUUUGAAGCCCAGAGCCCCUGCUUCCUGGUUGGAAUGUGAUGAUCAACCCUGUGUUUGGGCUUGACAUGGGCAAAGAGGAGUCACCUGAUAAUGCAUCUCCCUUCAUCAUCUCCCACCAAAAAAACUACUUGUGCUGGGCACCAUUCUAUAAACACAUUGGGCCAUGCAAACAACACUACCAAGACUCAAGGCAGAGGCCAGUUGUGUAAGCUGGGCACACAGGAGGAGGGUCAGGGGAGGGUGCAGUUCCAUGGUCACAUGGGCACAUGCUACAUUCCAGAACCAGGAAGACACAGUCCAGGUCCAAGCCUUGUGGCUGGUGGAACUCACACAGGACCUAGAUGGGCCAGCUUGGACUCAGUCUAUUGGAGAGAGGUCAACAGAAUUUGCCAAUGGUCAGAAAAGGGAGGGGCAGGGACGGACAAGAAGUUCUGGUCCUGGAUGGAUGACUCACUGGUUCCCAGAAGAGACUUCAGCAGUUUCAGCAGCUCCUCUCUUCCAGGUGUUUGCUGAAGCCCUGUGCUGUGUCACAGCCAAGACUCCUUUCCUUCUGAAUGGAUUGAUUAGGUUUUUUAUCCAGUAAUCCUCUCACAUGUUCUUUCCAAUACUGUUUAUUGCGUGGCACAAAGAUGGAAAUCUAUUUACUAAUCUGUUCCGUUUUAACUCAAUGCUGCAAUCAUCCCGGGAGGAUCUGGGAAGGCUGGGGCCGAUGUCAAUCCUGGGGGAGCACAAUGGG